rnacentral:rRNA from 1 species
UACGUAGGGUGCGAGCGUUAAUCGGAAUUACUGGGCGUAAAGCGUGCGCAGGCGGUUCUGCAAGUCAGGCGUGAAAUCCCCGGGCUUAACCUGGGAAUGGCGCUUGAAACUACGGGACUGGAGUAUGGCAGAGGGAGGUGGAAUUCCACGUGUAGCGGUGAAAUGCGUAGAGAUGUGGAGGAACACCGAUGGCGAAGGCAGCCUUCUGGGCCAACACUGACGCUCAUGCACGAAAGCGUGGGGAGCAAACAGG